rnacentral:piRNA from 1 species
UUUGGUUGUUCUGGUCACUUGGGCAGUA